GUCCUUGAUCUCGGGAGUUACGUUCAUGUUGCAUCUGAAGGAAGGCCUCACUAUAGAAGGGAAAAAAAACACAAGGAAAGUCCGGCGCAGCCCAGGAGAGUCUUAGCGAUCCCUCGGGCUUUCAUUAAGCCUGUGAGCGAGCUUCUGUCACCUCCUGGCACAACGAAUGCAGUUAAGCUUCUACAGGACAGCCCAGUGCCACCUGGACACCAAGGCAAAGGAGACCGGGCUCCUACAGACCGGGGUUCAGGUUUGUGUUCCUUUGCUUAUGUAACGCCCCCCAUUAAAAUGGCUUAUCAAGCUGGGGGCAGAGCCCCCCUCCCCCCAAGUCUGUUGCCUCUGCUGCUCUGAUGGGAGAAUACAUUGUUUAUUACCCCCCUCAUUUACCAGCCCCCAAAUAUCAUUACAAUGUCUGUGCCAUGAUCUAUGUAUGGUUGUUACCCUUUUAAUGGAUAAAAAAAGAUUUAAGUACUUCAUUCGGUUGCAUUUUGACAGCUGUUAGCCAUCAUUUUUCCAUUCACCUGCAUUUAGCAGUCCCAUAAAGGAAAGCAAUCUCGGAGGGAACACGAGCCGGGCACUGCAAGGUGAUAAUUCUGUGUCAGUCCAGCCUAUAAAUACCUGCCUGGCUUUGUGCUGAGUCAGCAGUCUGUGACGGAGUGGCAGCCGUGCCCUUUUAUCUGCCUGAGUGUCUCACGGCAAUCGGACCACCAGCCCCAGCCGUGAAAAUCCAUAGUAUCGAUCCGGCCAUUUCUCCACUGUAAUUCUUUUGUAGGAAACCCCGGAUGACAAAUUUUAUCUGCACCACUUUUUGAUGGCUGGUUUGAUAUAAAGGAUCUCCAAGGGCAGAGUUAAGCGUUGGGCCAUUCCACGUUAUCAGGCAGCCGCUUUAUUUACUGAAACUACAAUUGUGGUCUCACACACACACACACACACACACACACACACACACACGGAGAGGUAGAGAGGACAAGGAAGAAAAAUGGAACCAAAUAAUAUUUCAAGUCCAAGGUGCCAGCGGGUGGGAAGAAAGGCUGUGUGAACCACCUGACUCAAGCAUAGGUUAGAAUGGCUGACCACAUCUGUAAUCGAGAAUCUAGCAGAGGUGUGUUUAGACAGCCAAGCUGUGGUGGUGAAGGGUUGUCUAUCACAAUGGUGAUGAGGCUGUUCUCCACCACCCGCCUAACCCUCACCUCAUCUCCUGAGACUUGCGGAGCUUCCUUGCUCCAUGUCCCCAGGGUGUUAAGAGAAUCUCUUCAUCUGAUGGUUCCUUAGAGCUCACCAUCGGGCACGAAUCAGAGGCCCAGGUGAGCACCUGUGAAAUAUCCGAAGUCCCUAGCGAAGAAGAGAAAGGUUGUGUAAGAGCCUCUGUCCUUCCCAGAAUUGCCGCUGUGACUGUUUCUGGGCACAGGUACAAAAUGGAAAAGGGGGAAUGUCCUUCUGCUGGGUGCAUAGGCAGACAGUCCCCAGUUGUAGAUCCAAGCCGAAUUCUAUUAAAGCCCCAGGUGCUCAGGCCUGUGUGACGAACUCACAGAGACCUCUAACCGGCCUCUCUCCCUCAGCACUGUGAACAUCUGGGCCGGAAAAGUUCUUUGUGGUGAGAACUGCCCUGCACAUUUUAGAGGUUGCAGCCAUAUCUAUAGAGUCUGCUACCUACCAGUAUUUCACAGUUCGAAGCAAGCUUGUCUGCAGAGCACCUUCAGCUGGUGCAGGGCAUUGAACAGUGACUAAGGUUUUUAUGGUGAGCCAGGCGCUGUGCCAAGCAAGGGACUUGCCAUACAUCCAACCAACUUGAGGUGUAAACAAUUGUCAUGCUUUCCAAAGGGGUGUCAACAACUGAGGUCCAGAGGGUGCAAUGGUCACAAAGUCAAUACACAAUGACACCCAAGAGUCUGUACCAGUGCCCAGCUUUGUCCUAUUCCAACAGUGCUGUCUUUCAGGAGAACAUGCCUCCCGUUGGGCAUCAUCAUGGUUAAGGAAGGUGGUUCUGGGGCUAGAGAGAGCGCUCCAUGGUCCAGAUCACUUGCUGCUAUUGUAGAGGGCCCAAGCUCAGUUGCCAGCACCCACCGCCUGUGGCUGGCAACCAUCUGUAACUCCAGCUCCAGGGGAUCCAAAACCCUCGUCCCCCAGACUCCACAGACAGACUCACGUGCACAUCCCUCACACAGGCAGGUACAGGCAUAUGAGCAAACAUGUUUUUAAUAAAAUGUCCAAAGAAAGGUCCAGGGCAUCAUCCUGUAGUCGUGGUUUCUAUCUCCCCCAGGGCAGGCUGGAAUGAGGAGACUGCUGUGAACCAUGCCCAUGCCUCAUACU
rnacentral:lncRNA from 1 species